CACUUAUGCCAAGCCUCAGAAAAGACUGUCAAGAAGAUACUUAUCUUUUGCAUGCUUGAGUAAAGGA
rnacentral:lncRNA from 1 species